rnacentral:lncRNA from 1 species
UGUUCAUUUAAAUGAGUAGUUAUUGUUGCCAACUUAAUUAGAAAUUUGAAUUGAGAUUAUUUUUGGAAUAAGGGAUUGGGGGAGGUGAAAAAAAAUGGGGAGGGGUAGGGGGUAAAAAUUUUUCUCAUUUCAUAUUUCAGAAAUUAAAAAGAAUUUUUCUUCAAAUAUUUUUUUUUAGGAGAUUUAUAUUCAACAGCAUAGUGUAUUGUUCAAAAGCAAAAAAAAAUGUUUUUAAGUUCAUUAGACCACAUUCAUUCUGUGUCAGAAACCUUUACUGUGUCAACUAUUUAAUCACAAUCCAAAUUCAGAUCUGUAUCGAGCUU